rnacentral:misc_RNA from 1 species
GCAAACUUGGUCAUUUAGAGGAAGUAAAAGUCGUAACAAGGUUUCCGUAGGUGAACCUGCGGAAGGAUCAUUAAUGAGUUAUUGAUUUUUUUUUAACCAAAAAAAUCAAAAUCUCCCAAACCCUUUGUUUAAAACUACCAUAACGUUGCUUUCGGUUGAAAGUGUGUUUUUUGACCAUUUUCAGCCGAACAGCCUUAUAAAAACUCUUUAUUAAUUUUGUCUGAAUACCAUUCUUAAUUAAAAAGAAAACAAAACUUUCAACAACGGAUCUCUUGGUUCUGGCAUCGAUGAAGAACGCAGC